AGGGGGAGCGCAGGAUCCUGGAUUGUGUCCCCCGUCGCCCUGGGAUCCGGGGCCUGUGCUGCUGGAUUCAUGCUCCCCGGGCCGUGCAGCCCCCU
rnacentral:pre_miRNA from 1 species